GACGAACGCUGGCGGCGUGCUUAACACAUGCAAGUCGAACGGAAAGGCCCUGCUUUUGUGUGGUGCUCGAGUGGCGAACGGGUGAGUAACACGUGAGUCACCUGCCCUGGACUUUGGGAUAACUUCAGGAAACUGCGGCUAAUACCGGCUAGGAGCUCCUGCUGCAUGGUGGGGGUUGGAACGUUUCGGCGGUUGGGGAUGGACUCGCGGCUUAUCAGCUUGUUGGUGGGGUAGUGGCUUACCAAGGCUUUGACGGGUAGCCGGCCUGGGAGGGUGACCGGCCACAUUGGGACUGAGAUACGGCCCAGACUCCUACGGGAGGCAGCAGUGGGGAAUAUUGCACAAUGGGCGGAAGCCUGAUGCAGCAACGCCGCGUGCGGGAUGACGGCCUUCGGGUUGUAAACCGCUUUCGCCUGUGACGAAGCGUGAGUGACGGUAAUGGGUAAAGAAGCACCGGCUAACUACGUG
rnacentral:rRNA from 1 species